UACGUAGGGGGCAAGCGUUGUCCGGAAUCAUUGGGCGUAAAGGGUAGGUAGGUGGUCUCAUUUGUCUCGGGUGAAAGCCUUGGGCUUAACCCAAGAAGUGCCCGAGAAACGGUGAGACUGGAGUCCUGGAGAGGGUCGUGGAAUUCCCGGUGUAGCGGUGAAAUGCGUAGAGAUCGGGAGGAACACCAGAGGCGAAGGCGGCGACCUGGACAGGUACUGACGUUCAGGCACGAAAGCGUGGGGAGCAAACAGG
rnacentral:rRNA from 1 species